AGUAAAUUUUCUGAUUUUUUGUUUGAAAAAUUUUUGUUGUCUUAUUUUUCUCAUCUCUUUCCUAAAUUUCAUCUGUAGGGAUGUAGUUUCUGUUUGAAAUUUUGAAUCCAAAACUUUGGAGAUUUUCUGAUUUCUUAUUAGUUUAAUUGUGAAUUUUCUUACUUGCACGUUCUACCUUUAGAUGCCUCGGCACUAAUUAAAAUUCAAUAGGGAACUCAGUUAGUUUCAUUUGAUCAUGAUUCUAAAUUUGAAGCUAAGAGUCCGUUAUAUUGAGAUUUUGGGAGUUUUUGUUUUCAUUUGUUAUUUGAGAAUAUUAAGCUUUGCACAUUAUUUGAGACGCUGAAGGUCUCAAUUGAAGAAAUUGUGGAUUUGUUAUACCACAAAAGACCUAUGCUCUCAUGUGUGAUGGUCCCUAGAGCUUUUUUCCCUUUCUUCACUGUUAUUAUACUCAUUACUUGUCAAUUCUUUGAAUAUUUGUGCCUUUUUGCUUUAAUUUUAGUUUUUUACUCUUUCAGAUAUAUACAUUAUGCCUGAGUUGCACAACACUUUAUUUAGCGUCUUUUCCCCACUUUCUCUCAUAAUUUGCUUUCAUUGUAAUUAAUCCUAAGAUACUUACAAUGUUGUGUAGCUCAAAUAUUUGCAAAAGAACUUCUUGAUUGGGUAUUUUGGGCUUGUUGGUUGUCACAUGACAAAUUGCCUAUGAAUUCUUGUAGAGAAGACUGGAAGUGAACAUGUUUGCAAGUUCUCAAAUUAGUUAUUCGAAUUGGAUGCUUAGUUCAUCAAAGUUGGAUAGUUGAAAGAGGUUCAGAUAUUGCUAUUACAAAAUUAGAAGGCAAGUCUUCUAAAGUAAGAAAAUAAACAUUUUAUACAAAAAGAAGAAGAACGUUAUUAGAAAGAGUGCUCAAGAUGCGAGACUCUUCCUCAAUUUUCAUACAAGUUGAAAAGAUUGUAUAAAUUUGAAAGCUCAACGAAAAGGGAAGGCUCAAGUCUCCGAGUAAAUUGUUGAUUAAUUAAGGCAAGUAGAUUUCUAAACUCUUGUUAAGUGUAUGAAAUGCGUGUAUUUCCUUGUGGUAUAUGUUUGGAAGUAACGGGAUUGGUGAUGGGUUGACUUGUCCACAUUGAUUAAUUAUAA